AACAUGGUCACUGUCCAGAGGGAUUUCAGAAAGAAUGGCCCUUGCUGUUGGGGGUCUGUAGGCAUAAAUGUGGCCACAGAGGCCAGCCAUCACUGAAGACUUGCUUAAGACAUGCACUAUGAACUCAAGGUGGCCAGCUUUGCUAAUCCUCUGGGAUGAAGAAGGACACAGAAGAGCAGUGUGGGAAAAGAAUAAGAAAUUUAUUGAGAAUCACAAUGCAAACUAUGAGCAGGGAAAGACAAGUUUCACUAUGGGCCUGAAUGGAUUUAGCGACAUGACACGGGAGGAAUUCUUGACCAUUUGCUGUGGAAGAUCAAAGUCUACAAGAGAUUUGCCUAAAUCUAAGAAUUUAGAAGAGAACAGCAAUGUGGCAUCUGUGAUGGAU